UACGUAGGUGGCAAGCGUUGUUCGGAAUUAUUGGGCGUAAAGGGCGCGUAGGCGGCAUGUUAAGUCGGCUGUGAAAGCCUGGGGCUCAACCCCAGAGGGUCGGCCGAUACUGGCAAGCUAGAGUACGGAAGAGGUAGCUGGAAUUCCUGGUGUAGCAGUGAAAUGCGUAGAGAUCAGGAGGAAUACCGAUGGCGAAGGCAGGUCUCUGGGCUGAUACUGACGCUCAUGCACGAAAGCGUGGGGAGCAAACAAGG
rnacentral:rRNA from 1 species